rnacentral:rRNA from 1 species
GAUGAACGCUGGCGGCGUGCCUAAUACAUGCAAGUCGAGCGAACAGACGAGGAGCUUGCUCCUUUGACGUUAGCGGCGGACGGGUGAGUAACACGUGGAUAACCUACCUAUAAGACUGGGAUAACUUCGGGAAACCGGAGCUAGUACCGGAUAACAUGUUGAACCGCAUGGUUCAACAGUGAAAGACGGUCUUGCUGUCACUUAUAGAUGGAUCCGCGCCGCAUUAGCUAGUUGGUAAGGUAACGGCUUACCAAGGCAACGAUGCGUAGCCGACCUGAGAGGGUGAUCGGCCACACUGGAACUGAGACACGGUCCAGACUCCUACGGGAGGCAGCAGUAGGGAAUCUUCCGCAAUGGGCGAAAGCCUGACGGAGCAACGCCGCGUGAGUGAAGAAGGUCUUCGGAUCGUAAAACUCUGUUAUUAGGGAAGAACAAAUGUGUAAGUAACUAUGCACGUCUUGACGGUACCUAAUCAGAAAGCCACGGCUAACUACGUG